CCAGAGUUUGAUCCUGGCUCAGAUUGAACGCUGGCGGCAGGCCUAACACAUGCAAGUCGAACGGUAACAGGAAACAGCUUGCUGUUUCGCUGACGAGUGGCGGACGGGUGAGUAAUGUCUGGGAAACUGCCUGAUGGAGGGGGAUAACUACUGGAAACGGUGGCUAAUACCGCAUAACGUCGCAAGACCAAAGAGGGGGACCCUCGGGCCUCUUGCCAUCGGAUGUGCCCAGAUGGGAUUAGCUUGUUGGUGGGGUAACGGCUCACCAAGGCGACGAUCCCUAGCUGGUCUGAGAGGAUGACCAGCCACACUGGAACUGAGACACGGUCCAGACUCCUACGGGAGGCAGCAGUGGGGAAUAUUGCACAAUGGGCGCAAGCCUGAUGCAGCCAUGCCGCGUGUAUGAAGAAGGCCUUCGGGUUGUAAAGUACUUUCAGCGGGGAGGAAGGGAGUAAAGUUAAUACCUUUGCUCAUUGACGUUACCCGCAGAAGAAGCACCGGCUAACUCCGUGCCAGCAGCCGCGGUAAUACGGAGGGUGCAAGCGUUAAUCGGAAUUACUGGGCGUAAAGCGCACGCAGGCGGUUUGUUAAGUCAGAUGUGAAAUCCCCGGGCUCAACCUGGGAACUGCAUCUGAUACUGGCAAGCUUGAGUCUCGUAGAGGGGGGUAGAAUUCCAGGUGUAGCGGUGAAAUGCGUAGAGAUCUGGAGGAAUACCGGUGGCGAAGGCGGCCCCCUGGACGAAGACUGACGCUCAGGUGCGAAAGCGUGGGGAGCAAACAGGAUUAGAUACCCUGGUAGUCCACGCCGUAAACGAUGUCGACUUGGAGGUUGUGCCCUUGAGGCGUGGCUUCCGGAGCUAACGCGUUAAGUCGACCGCCUGGGGAGUACGGCCGCAAGGUUAAAACUCAAAUGAAUUGACGGAAGGGCGAAUUC
rnacentral:rRNA from 1 species